GCAAACUGCCUUCAUGUAGAACAAGCCUUCAGAUAGAUUUUAUAGUUUGCUUUUCUUGGACAGAAGGAACACACCUGCACUUGGAACUUUGCUCACACAUCCUAGUGCUGUGAAAUACAGGACUGUAAACUGUCCCAGCUUCUCAGUAAAACAUGAGAAAAAGCUGUUCCCAAGGAACAGCAACUUCCUUGGGAACAGCUUUGAAGUUGAAGUUGGGAAUUAGGUGGAAUUUGAAGUUCCACCCUUUCAACCCAGCCUUCCAGGAAGGUGCCCAACACUGCAGCUGGCACAAGUUCACCAGUAACUGCUAUUUGAACAUGACAGUGGGAUUUCAGUUAUUAAGCAACUACUAUUGCUAACUGAAAUAGCAAGUGUUUGAAAAAGUUCUGUUGAGCACUUUGCAGAUGUGCUGGACAUGACAAGUCUGUUCUCAGCUACUCACUGUGAGUAGAGUGCAUCUGUUUACAUAGAGAAAAACUGACAUUGACCCUCAGAGCACUUGGAAUGUAGGCAUUCCUGCCAGAAAUUUCUUCAGAGUGUUUUUCCCCCUUUAGGAACCUGCCACUGCCCUGAUCCUCUCUUCUUUGUCCUUAGGAGAACUGCAGAAAUGCUCCAGCCCCCAAAGCAUGAACUGGCUGCUGGUUCCCAGUCUGCUCUGACAGACCACACAUGACAGUAUCUGGCUUUGUAGUCUGUAUGUGAGCAUAGCCAGACUCAGACAAGAUCUUGUAGAGCCAUUUCUUCAAGAAGGGGAACAUCCUCCUGACAUCUUCAUCCUGGAAUCCAAAGAGCCCUGGGAAGUACCGGCCCAGCAGGAUGGAGAGCAGGAAACAGGAAUUUGUUCCCUGAAUUCCUCAUUUCUUGAUGUCUUUAAGCUUGUUUUACUCACAUCAACUCCAGUUCACCAGCAAUCCCAUCGUCUUUCACUGCCUUGAGAUUUCCCCAUCCUUGACACCUCUGUGAAUCUCUGCACUCUCUGAAAAGCUUUCAAGUGAUGACAGAAGGCUUUUGUCCCCUGCCCCACCACCCAUCUUUGAAGGGCAGUGUCUCUUCAUUCUUCUUGGAAAAGAAGAAGUAGAUGAGGAGUGUCCCCAGGACCAGGAACACCUCGAGCAGCAUAAUGC